GGGAAGGUGGCUCAGUGGUAGAGUGCUUGCCUUGCAUGCAUGAGGGGGUUCGAUUCCUCAGUACCA
rnacentral:tRNA from 1 species